rnacentral:sRNA from 1 species
UGCAUCUGCAGCCCAUGAGGAUGAGAACCUCCGGGGGCAGGGAGGUUCGACUCGAGCGAAGCGAGAGAACGUUGCGCCAGC